rnacentral:rRNA from 1 species
UUGACCUCGGAUCAGUAGGGAAACCGGUC